CUUGGGAAUCUGGAGGUCUGCAAUUUGCUCCCCACUCCUUCCUUCCUUUCUUCACUGAAUAUUUGCUUAUUGGAUGGAGAGCACAUGUCCAUGCCUCUGAACUGCAGGGCCUCACAGACGCUUGGAGAGCACUUUUUCCUGCUUGCAUUCAUCUAUACCUGCACCUCCACUGUUGACGUUGUGGCUGAAUUGUCAGGUAUCUGGCAAGGAAGAACAUCAUGGAGGAAUGGAGGGGUGGAGGAGAGCUGUUCACCUCAUGAGAGCUGGAGAGCAGAGAAACAGAAAAAGAGCCAAAGAGUGAUGGAGCCAGGUAUUUCUUCAAUUUCAAGAAUUUAGAAGUGACUUGGCUGGAAGUUUCCGCAUUGGAGACUCUCACAAAGUUGCAUUCAGAUGGUGGUUGGUUCCAAAAACAUUUCAAGGCUUCUUCACUCACUUGUCUGAUGGCUGGGUUGGGGAAGAGGACCAAAGUCACUUCAUGAAAUGAGAUAGACUGUCACAGUCAUCAUUGAAAAAGAGACAGGAGAAUCUCUGAAGAAAUGCUGAAUAAUAACAGAUAGCAAGCAUUCUAUUCUUGUUCUUUAUUUUAAAAUAAAUGCUCUUGUAUUAUUACACAGA
rnacentral:lncRNA from 1 species